rnacentral:rRNA from 1 species
AUUGAACGCUGGCGGCAGGCCUAACACAUGCAAGUCGAACGAGUGGCGGACGGGUGAGUAAUGUCUGGGAAACUGCCUGAUGGAGGGGGAUAACUACUGGAAACGGUAGCUAAUACCGCAUACCAUCGGAUGUGCCCCGAUGGGAUUCGCUAGUAGGUGGGGUAAAGGCUCACCUAGGCGACGAUCCCUAGCUGGUCUGAGAGGAUGACCAGACAAACUGGAACUGAGAAACGGUCCAGACUCCGACGGGAGGCAGAAGGGGGGAAUAUUGCAAAAUGGGCGCAAGCCUGAUGCAGCAAUGCCGCGUGUAUGAAGAAGGCCUUCGGGUGGUAAAGUACUGUCAGCGGGGAGGCGGUACCCGCAGAAGAAGCACCGGCUAACUCCGUGCCAGCAGCCGCGGUAAUUC